GAAUUUUGUGAAACUUAAGAACUUCUGGAGGCAUUUCUAGCUGAAGGCCAAUCAAACAAAGAUGCCAGACUGAUCCUAACAGCAACUGUUUCAGCACAGAAAGAAGUUAUUGAAAGGAGCUACAAUAUACCAGAGAUCUCACAGUACUUGGACUUUAUUAGUGUCAAGACAUUUGAUUUUCAUACAUUUAAAGAUGGCAUUGCAAGACAUCACAGCCCUUUGUACAGUGGCAUCCAAGACGAGGAGGAUAUCAACUCAAACACUGUAAGCAGACUGACUCUUAUUAUGAGCACAGACUUCAAGACAGUGAAUAACUUGAAUUUGCUGCUGGGUAGUUUGUAUAUUUUCAUCUUGCAUACAGGAUUCUGCGCUAAAAUUCUGGAGAUUCCAGGGAGCUCCUCCUGAGAAGUUGUUGAUGGGCUUUGCCACGUAUGGACGUUCCUUCAUCCUCACCUCCUCUCAGAGUGGAGUUGGAGCCCCAGCCAAUAACUUGGCUUCUCCUGGACCUUAUACACAAGAGAUGGGCCUGUGGUCUUACUUUGAAGUAAAUCUCAUAGGAAAAUAUCUCUUCUAGACAAAAACCUUUGUUCAAUAUUUUUAAUAUUAAUUGCAAAUGCUUGUCUAUGUUAAGUUAAGAAAUAUUUUCUUUUUUCAAAUAUGCCUUUUCCUAAACGGUGGGGUAGUACAGUGGAUAGAAGACCAGAAAGUUCCUUUUUCUAUUAAAGGCAGUGAUUGGGUGGGCUUUGACAAUCUGAGGAGCUUUGAAAUUAAGAUAAAAUACUUACAGGAACAUGGCUUUGGGGGUGCUUUUGUAUGGGCUCUAGACCUGGAUGAUUUUUCUGGAUAUUUCUGUGGACAAGGCAACUACCCUUUAGUCAACCACCUGAAGAAAUGGUUAAUGCUUGGAGCAGAAGAUGAAUUGAAUGGUUCCAUGACUACAAACUCCUAUGCAACAGUUGGAAAGGGCUUUUCACCACUUCCAACAUGUGUGAACAUUCUCAAUUCUCUUCCUGCAUUGAAAAGUCCGUUCUGUGCAAACAGAUCAGAUGGACUUUAUCACAGAAUGGAUUCCCUUAACUCAUUUUAUAGCUGUACUGGAGGAAUGACAAAUAUCACCUGGUGCACCCCUGCCAUUUUAAAUAAUUCUGCUGCAGCACGACCAUCCCAGACAAUCACUUUUAUUACAUUAGGGAGUGCAAGUUUUCUAACUCAGUGGCAUAGCCUAUUUUAGGGGUAACUUGUUGAAUGAAUGUAUAAACAUCUAAAAUGCAGGAUACCUUGGUUUUAGCCUACACAUGGUUGCAUGUGGAGCACUUGUGAAUAGUUGUGGUUGUUAAUGUUAAGUCAUUUCUUAUUCCUCUGCUUUAAAAUUAACUUUUUAGCCAUUUUUGUCAAUAGCCAAGCAACUAAUGUAGUAUAAAUAAGCAGGUAACUAACUUUUGUUGGAUGUUAAAACGGUCUAAAACGAUGCCUCUGCGCAUGUAAUGUGAAACACAAGAUACAGUUUUGCAUGCAUUUACUGGAAUAUAUGAAGAUUGUUUUAUUUUUCUUUGUAUUUUUGUCAUAAUUAUUAAUAAUUGUAUUGUUUGUGUAGUUAAAAGUAAUAGCUACAUUAAAAAGUAAGAGAGCAACAUUGUGUAUUUUACAUUUCUGGCUAUUGUUGCUGUAGCUACAGUGUGACUGAGAAUCAGUUACACAUACAUACAAAAUGUUGUAUUUGUAUUCUUUUCAUUAGGAUAUUUUAUCCCACAGUGACUACUCAGAGACUACUUUUUAUUUCUUCAUUUUAAUUGCUAAACUCUAAUAAUAAUU